rnacentral:rRNA from 1 species
AACUGGGAUUAGAUACCCCACUAUGCUUAGCUGUAAACUUAGAUGGUUAUAUUACAAACACCAUCCGCCCGGGAACUACGAGCACUAGCUUAAAACCCAAAGGACUUGGCGGUGCUUAAUAACCCCCUAGAGGAGCCUGUUCUAGAACCGAUAAUCCUCGUUAAACCUCACCCCUUCUUGUUCAUUCCGCCUAUAUACCGCCGUCGUCAGCUUACCCUGUGAAGGAUAAAUAGUAAGCACAAUUAGUAUAAACCCAAAACGUCAGGUCGAGGUGUAGCAAAUGAAGGGGGAAGAAAUGGGCUACAUUUCCUGUAUACAGGACAUACGAAAAGUAUUUUGAAAAAAUUACUAGAAGGAGGAUUUAGUAGUAAGUGGAGAGCAGAGUGCUCCACUGAAACUGGCCCUUAAGCGCGCACACACCGCCCGUCACUCUCCC